rnacentral:rRNA from 1 species
CGCCUNUAGCAAAACCAGUAUUAGAGGUACUGCCUGCCCAGUGAUAAAUUUAACGGCCGCGGUAUUUUGACCGUGCAAAGGUAGCAUAAUCACUUGUCUUCUAAAUAAAGACUAGUAUGAACGGCAAAACGAAGGUUUAACUGUCUCCUUUGUCCACUCAAUGAAAUUGAUCUCACAGUACAAAAGCUGUGAUUCAACAACAAGACGAGAAGACCCUAUGGAGCUUAAAACUUACUAAAAAUUGUAAUAAAUUUAUUAAUUUAAUACACUAAUUUUAUACUGUUUUUGGUUGGGGCGACCACGGAGAAUACAUAUCCUCCGAGAUGAUACAUCAGGAAACAAUCCAAAACUUCAGAAAACUGACAUAAUUGACCCAAUAACUUUGACCAACGAACCAAGUUACCCUAGGGAUAACAGCGCAAUCCUCUUCAAGAGCCCAUAUCGACAAGAGGGCUUACGACCUCGAUGUUGGAUCAGGAUAACCUGACAGUGCAACCGCUGUCAAAGGUUUGUUUGUUCAACAAUUAAAAUCCU